UACGUAGGGUGCAAGCGUUAAUCGGAAUUACUGGGCGUAAAGCGUGCGCAGGCGGCUUUGCAAGACAGAUGUGAAAUCCCCGGGCUUAACCUGGGAACUGCAUUUGUGACUGCAUGGCUGGAGUGCGGCAGAGGGGGAUGGAAUUCCGUGUGUAGCGGUGAAAUGCGCAGAUAUGAGGAGGAACACCGGUGGCGAAGGCGGGUCUCUGGGCGAGUAAUCAUGCGCUGAGGAGCGAAAGCGUGGGGAGCGAACAGG
rnacentral:rRNA from 1 species